rnacentral:lncRNA from 1 species
GAAAUACGUAAAUUCUUUCAAUUGCAGUUAAGCAUAUAGGGCUUAGUUACAUUUUUACCACCAAAAAUUGUGUAUAUACAAUAUGAGUUAUGACCACUAUAUGUUGAAAAGGAAAACUGCGUAGCUAUUAAAAUCACUGGAGCUGAAAAAAAUAUUAAAAAAAUAGACUGGAAAGAAUUCCGUAACGCGAAGAGAGGACACGUGUGGCUUUACAAUGCCAGGCAAAUACAAAAAGAGCAGACAUAGACAUUUGAGCUGGUAAUCAGUCAUUUGUUGUAAGCAUACAACUGUUCCAAGUUGAUGAAGGCCAUGUAAUGGGAGA